rnacentral:rRNA from 1 species
UACGGAGGGUGCGAGCGUUAUCCGGAUUCACUGGGUUUAAAGGGCGCGUAGGCGGCUUUAUAAGUCGGGGGUGAAAGCCUGUGGCUCAACCACAGAAUUGCCUUCGAUACUGUAGAGCUUGAGACCGGAAGAGGUAAGUGGAACUGCGAGUGUAGAGGUGAAAUUCGUAGAUAUUCGCAAGAACACCAGUGGCGAAGGCGGCUUACUGGUCCGGUUCUGACGCUGAGGCGCGAAAGCGUGGGGAGCAAACAGG